rnacentral:rRNA from 1 species
CUACGUGCCAGCAGCCGCGGUAAUACGGAAGGUCCGGGCGUUAUCCGGAUUUAUUGGGUUUAAAGGGAGCGUAGGCUGGAGAUUAAGUGUGUUGUGAAAUGUAGACGCUCAACGUCUGACUUGCAGCGCAUACUGGUUUCCUUGAGUACGCACAACGUUGGCGGAAUUCGUCGUGUAGCGGUGAAAUGCUUAGAUAUGACGAAGAACUCCGAUUGCGAAGGCAGCUGACGGGAGCGCAACUGACGCUGAAGCUCGAAGGUGCGGGUAUCGAACAGGAUUAGAUACCCUGGUAGUCCGCMCAGUAAACGAUGGAUGCCCGCUGUUGGUACCUGGUAUCAGCGGCUAAGCGAAAGCAUUAAGCAUCCCACCUGGGGAGUACGCCGGCAACGGUGAAACUCAAAGGAAUUGACGGGGGCCCGCACAAGCGGAGGAACAUGUGGUUUAAUUCGAUGAUACGCGAGGAACCUUACCCGGGCUUGAAUUGCAGAGGAAGGAUUUAGAGAUA